UCGUCUUCUUCCAUCUAGGAUUCUAGAAUUCAUCGUCAUACAAAUCCUGAUGAAACUAUAGGCCGAGCUUCGUACGCGCCGGUUCGUUUUGGAUUCGUCUCAUUAAAAACGUUACUGAUUCAUCAAGUUAUCGUCAUAAAGAAGCAUCAUUACUCCUUCAGCACACAACUAGCAAACAAUCAAUCAUUCAAUGCUUCUUUUUCCUCUUCCAGACGGUGUUUAUUCAUCUAUAAAAAAGAAUGAUAACUGCAGUUUCAUGGAUACCUAAAAGGUCAUGCCUGAUGAUAUUGAGCCUCCUUCUAAGGAGAAUAUCAAGGAGCUAGCACUCUCAAGAAAGGCAUGAUAUAUGAGUGUCCUGCAGAGUGGUGGAGUUGCUCAUGUCAAGGCUGUAGCCAAAUCUUUUGGAAUACAUGUUCAAAAAGCUAGGUCUAAAGGAUUACAAGAAGAAACUGCUAACAGAUCCUACAUUGCCAGUGCUCACCGACAGCACGCUAAGAGAUGUGAUUAAGGGCCAAGGCUUCUGAUACCGACCAUAUCCAGAGUGUCCCUGAUAUAAAGGGCAAAAAGGAAUAAAGUGGUUUUAAUAUAUGGUCUAUCACCAGAAUCAAUCAAUCUGCUUUGACAGUAAGGAUCUUCAAACACAUAAUGUAACUUUUUUUUUUCAGACACAGAAAUACUAAUCAGCUAUUGUCUUACAAUGAUAAUACUCAGGACAGAGAACAAAAUGCUGUCUUAGAUAUAUUGUUUCUGCGUUUUCUGGUUACGGUCAUUAACUUAUUAUGCCUAUAUAUGAUGUUAUACCGAAGCUAUUAAUCAUUCUCUGAUUUCAGAAUGUAAUGUUCGUUUUUACCAGAAGGAAAGUCAAACUUCCUUUGGAAAAAGUAUGAGUGAAAACUGCUGCUCCAUAGCAAGUCCCUUUGCAAAUUCAAAUUACCCAAGAAAAUUCCACCUGCUCAAGAACCUAGCAACCUAGAGGAAGAGUGGAUUCAAGGAAAGGCGAGGUGAAAAAUGCAAUUAUGGAGUUUCAUUUUCAUGGUCCAAGAAUGUAUUGCAGACUGGUUGUAUUGGUGUCCCCAAAUGACUAGGAAUAGUGGCAUUAGUAGACAAAAUUUUGUUCCUUCUAGCCUAUGACCAAAAUGCUUAGGUUUGUGUUACUCCUACACCUAAUACCUAUACCUCUGUGUUCUCAGGAGAUGUAUUGUAUAUCGGCACUAAAUUCUUCUUCUUAUCAUUCUAUUUAUUUUUUCCUUCUGUAA